rnacentral:rRNA from 1 species
CGAACGCUGGCGGCGUGCUUAACACAUGCAAGUCGAACGCUGAAGCCCAGCUUGCUGGGUGGAUGAGUGGCGAACGGGUGAGUAACACGUGAGUAACCUGCCCUCUUCUUUGGGAUAACGCCCGGAAACGGGUGCUAAUACUGGAUAUUCACUGGCCUUCGCAUGGGGGUUGGUGGAAAGGUUUUUUCUGGUGGGGGAUGGGCUCGCGGCCUAUCAGCUUGUUGGUGGGGUGAUGGCCUACCAAGGCUUUGACGGGUAGCCGGCCUGAGAGGGUGACCGGUCACAUUGGGACUGAGAUACGGCCCAGACUCCUACGGGAGGCAGCAGUGGGGAAUAUUGCACAAUGGGCGAAAGCCUGAUGCAGCGACGCCGCGUGAGGGAUGGAGGCCUUCGGGUUGUAAACCUCUUUCGCUCAUGGUCAAGCCGCAACUGUGGGUUGUGGUGAGGGUAGUGGGUAAAGAAGCGCCGGCUAACUACGUGCCAGCAGCCGCGGUAAUACGUAGGGCGCGAGCGUUGUCCGGAAUUAUUGGGCGUAAAGGGCUUGUAGGCGGUUGGUCGCGUCUGCCGUGAAAUCCUCUGGCUUAACUGGGGGCGUGCGGUGGGUACGGGCUGACUUGAGUGCGGUAGGGGAGACUGGAACUCCUGGUGUAGCGGUGGAAUGCGCAGAUAUCAGGAAGAACACCGGUGGCGAAGGCGGGUCU